rnacentral:rRNA from 1 species
CGCUGGCGGCAUGCUUUACACAUGCAAGUCGAACGGCAGCGCGGGGCAACCUGGCGGCGAGUGGCGAACGGGUGAGUAAUAUAUCGGAACGUACCCAAGAGUGGGGGAUAACGUAGCGAAAGUUACGCUAAUACCGCAUACGAUCNAAGGAUGAAAGCAGGGGAUCUUCGGACCUUGUGCUCCUGGAGCGGCCGAUAUCUGAUUAGCUAGUUGGUGAGGUAAAGGCUCACCAAGGCNACGAUCAGUAGCUGGUCUGAGAGGACGACCAGCCACACUGGAACUGAGACACGGUCCAGACUCCUACGGGAGGCAGCAGUGGGGAAUUUUGGACAAUGGGCGAAAGCCUGAUCCAGCAAUGCCGCGUGAGUGAAGAAGGCCUUCGGGUUGUAAAGCUCUUUUGUCAGGGAAGAAACGGUNNGGGCUAAUANCCUNAGCUAAUGACGGUACCUGAAGAAUAAGCACCGGCUAACUACGUGCCAGCAGCCGCGGUAAUACGUAGGGUGCAAGCGUUAAUCGGAAUUACUGGGCGUAAAGCGUGCGCAGGCGGUUUUGUAAGUCUG